ensembl:snRNA U6 U6 spliceosomal RNA
GUGCUCUUUCUUAGGCAGCACAUAUACUAAAAUUGGAACGAUACAGAGAAGAUUAGCAUGGCCCCUGCGCGAGGAUGACACGCAAAUUCGUGACGCGUUCCAUACUUUU